rnacentral:sRNA from 1 species
GGUACCAUGCUGAUGGCGUCAUUGAAAUAACUUGUUUUUGGGGCAAUUGAUUGUUCUGGCCGAGCUCUGGCUGCCUUAUUGUGUCUGAUAUGUCAAAGUUGCUAAAGCGUAAAGCUAAAUUCCAAGGCUCUAUAUUAACUACUUAUGCAUCUUAUUCAACCAGUGUAUUCCAUGUUAAAUAACAUUUUACAUUUAGGUAAAUGGAGGUUCAUCCAGGUAGAGUGCGUAUGAAAAUAUACAUCUUGGGAACAUGCGAGGGGUGUAAAUUAUCGACCCGCCGGCCCAGGUCCAGCCGGCGGGGGAGAUGGUUAGUUAUCAAAAGUUGAUUAUUUCAUUUGUCAUAGGAUAUCUCCUAUUGAAUUACUACUAGCUGGAGCUCUGAUCUUCCCUCAACAAUCAGAGGAAUUACCGGGCAUGUUAUACCCGUAUGUUAGCUUAUAAGCUAAUGCUGCCAUUACAUACAAAUUUUUUGAUGAACGUAUUUGAUAAUCUCUAUCAUAUGAGCGACAUUUUUUUUUUGGUGGUGGAUGUGGUGGGCAUCUUUUAAUUUCCGCAGCCAGACUCAAUGGACAUUAGGGUUUCACGUAGAUGAAGGAUACAACAUGGUAUUACAGUGCUGCUCGCGACGGGAGCCCAGGUAUACUCCAUCCCUACCUAGUAUGCGGGA